rnacentral:rRNA from 1 species
AUUGAACGCUGGCGGCAUGCCUUACACAUGCAAGUCGAACGGUAACAGGUCUUCGGAUGCUGACGAGUGGCGAACGGGUGAGUAAUACAUCGGAACGUGCCCGAUCGUGGGGGAUAACGGAGCGAAAGCUUUGCUAAUACCGCAUACGAUCUACGGAUGAAAGCAGGGGACCGCAAGGCCUUGCGCGGACGGAGCGGCCGAUGGCAGAUUAGGUAGUUGGUGGGAUAAAAGCUUACCAAGCCGACGAUCUGUAGCUGGUCUGAGAGGACGACCAGCCACACUGGGACUGAGACACGGCCCAGACUCCUACGGGAGGCAGCAGUGGGGAAUUUUGGACAAUGGGCGAAAGCCUGAUCCAGCCAUGCCGCGUGCAGGAUGAAGGCCUUCGGGUUGUAAACUGCUUUUGCACGGAACGAAAAGACUCUUUCUAAUAAAGAGGGUCCAUGACGGUACCGUAAGAAUAAGCACCGGCUAACUACGUG